AGGAUGAACGCUGGCGGCGUGCCUAACACAUGCAAGUCGAACGUCCUGUCUCGCAAGAGGCAGGGAGUGGCGGACGGGUGAGUACCACGUGGGUUAUCUACCGUGAGGUGAGGAAUACCGGCGAGAAAUCGCCGACAAGACCGCAUAGCCUCGGUGCAAGUCGAGGAAAGCUCUCUCGAGAGAGGGAGCGCCACACGAGGAGCCUGCGCCCGAUUAGCUAGCUGGUGGAGUAAUGGUUCACCAGGGCGACGAUCGGUAGCUGGUCUGAGAGGACGAUCAGCCACACUGGGAUUGAGAACGGCCCAGACUCCUACGGGGGGCAGCAGUGAGGAAUUUUCGCAAUGGGGGCAACCCUGAACGAGCAACGCCGCGUGCAGGAAGAAGGUUUUCGGAUCGUAAACUGCUUUUCUCGGGGAAGAGAACGGACGGUACCCGAGGAAUCAGCCCCGGCUAACUACGUGCCAGCAGCCGCGGUAA
rnacentral:rRNA from 1 species